UAGCAAUAGUGUCGUACAAGAGAGCAGCCAUCUUUGCAUAAGGAACAAGGGCGGGGCUGUGAACAUUCACUGCCUGGGACGAACCGGAAGUGACGUGGAUUCCGGUUUCGGCGGUCUCUGCUCUCCGUUCUGGUUAUUACUAACAGAAACAAAAAGUCGUUUAUCAAAGGUGAUUUUUACCCCCCGGUUCAAUGAAGCCGGCGGACUCUAGGUCACUACAGUUCUAGAUUAUAUUUCACUUCGCUGUACUUGGUUCUUUCUACCAUGGGAAAACUGUCAGCUGACCACUGUGAAGUUAUUUGGAAAAGAACUAGAGGCAGGAGGCCAACUUGCUUUGUAUGUGGAACCAAAAUCGAAACAUAUAAUGGGAAAGCUAGUGAUGUAGUAGCAUGAUGAAUAAAACUGGACUCUGCCCUUACACAGUAGUAACAGCAAGCCGACAUUCUAGGACUCACAUGAUGCCUCUGGUUCUGCCUUUCUCCUGGGUAUGAGAUGGGACAUGUGAUGUUCUAUUUAUAUUCUAUUACCUAGCCAUGUGCAGACACAGCAGCCCCAGUAAAAGCUUAUAGAAAGUUGAGCUUGUAGCUCUGUGAUAGUCUUUGCCUAGCAUUUGUAAGGGUCUGCAUUCACUUCUCAUCCUAUUGAGAGAGAUUCCCUGAUUUGUUAACUCCCAAAAUCUUUACCCACUCCACUUUCUAGAACUCUUGCCCUGCUCCACUCAGCAUGCUCUAUAGCCAGAAUCUAACCCUUAUCUUCUCUGGUCCACAGUAGAUGAAGAACUAUCAUUUUGGGCCAGUAAAUACAAAACACUAACAAAAAGGGUGGGUGUUCAUACAUAAUUUAGAUGAUGUCUGCUAGCAUAUAUAAGCAAAAACAUUUUGCAUAAUAAUUCUAAUUAUGCAACAGGUCCCAGGUUUAUAGUCACUAAUAAUUAAAGUAUGAUUUUUUUGAUUUAAAAAUUAAAGAAGGUAACAAAACUAGUGGGAUAGACCCAAUACAUAAAUAGCUGAUUCAGUGAAAUAACUUCAGUUCUCAGGUGCUCCUAAGGUUUUGGUUCUAAUUUUACUCUAACUGGGCUUCAUUCUUGAAAAUAGUUGCUCAAAUGUAGCUGCUGGCAUCAAUAAGGUGUGACCAUAAGUUAAAGAAUAAGUGUCUCUAGGAAGAUAGGACCUAUGAAUCAGACACAAUCAAAUCGUUUCUUUAACUUGAAUGUCAGAUUGCACUCUGCAUUCCAUUUGAAGAUUGGCAGGUGAUGUAGUAACUGAGAAGAGACAAGGAAGGUAUACAAAAUGAAGUUUUCCACUUCUAUUACAACACAAUCCUUGAGAAACACCUAAUUUAAUGCCUUUCGAGUCAUAGUCUUAGAAACCUUGCAUGAAUUCCCUGCAAAUUAAGCAGAGUACCUUCACAAAAAUGUAGUCAGCUGUCCACUUUUCACUAAAUAACUGCCCUUCAUGUGUAAUUUGUCUCUGGAGUUCUGUUUAAUUCUUAUUUAUUUUGCUGUGUGUACACAUGUAUGGAGAUUGGAGGACAACUUUUAAGGGAUGAUUCUCAGCUGAUACCUUGUAAGAUCUGGGGAUCAAACUCAGGCUGUAAGGUCUGUACAUAAGAACCUCUAUAAACUAAGAUCUUCACAGUCCCAAGGCUGUGUUUUCUUUUGAGGCUGGAAACCAUGAUAGGAUGAAAAUAAUAAACAAGGAGCUAUAUUUACUUUCAUUAUGAAAAUUAAUUGACAGGAAAAUAAAAAGCAAGGUUUGGGUCCUUAAAUAUCUCAGCUGCCUGUACAACAUGGAGGACCUAAAACCCAGCAGGCAAUGUGUGGGUUUGGACUGAGGUGUGGAAAUGCCUUUAAUCAUCAGAUAAUACGUAUCUUAAUUGCAGGGCAUGGUGGUCACAUCUUUAGUCCCACUGGGAGGCAGAGGCAAGUGGAUCUCUGAGUUUGGAGCCACACUAGUAUAUGUAGCAAAUUCCAGGCCAGCCAGGGCUGCAUAGUGAGACCCUGUCUCAAAACAAAGCCUACCUUUUCUGCAAAUGACAGGUUAGCAGCUCAGUAAUCACUGUCUUUUACUCAUCACCACAACCACAUGUAACAUCUGAUGGUGCCGGUUUCACUGUCUGCCCCUAGAAAAUAACACCCAGGAAACCACCAUAAAGCUGAACCUACAUGUACAUACAUAUACAUCUGUGUGACAUAUCAAUCUGUUGUCAUCUAAAAAAGUAAACUGUGAAGUUGUUACAAAAUAAGUUGCUCAGGAGAGGGGGGG
ensembl:lncRNA